GCCUAGCCGUAAACAAUUAACUUACACCAAAAAACGCCAGGGAAUUACGAGCAAUGCUUAAAACCCAAAGGAUUUGACGGUGUCCCACCCACCUAGAGGAGCCUGUUCUUUAAUCGAUAAUCCCCGCUAUACCUAACCACUCCUAGCCUUUCAGUCUGUAUACCUCCGUCGAAAGCCUACCAUGUGAACGUUUUAGUAAGCUAAAUGACCCCAUCAAUACGUCAGGUCAAGGUGCAGCUCACGGAGUGGGAAGUAAUGGGCUACAAUUUCUAACAUAGAACAAACGAAAUACUGCAUGAAACUGCAGUCAUGAAGGCGGAUUUAGAAGUAAAAAGAAAAUAGAGAGUUCUUUUUAAUCCGGCUCUGGGACGCGUACACACCGCCCGUCACCCUCUUCAAUAAUAAUUUUUAAGUUCUUAACCAUUUAUUCUCUACUAGAAGAGGCAAGUCGUAACACGGUAAGUGUACUGGAAAGUGCACUUGGAUUACACAAAAUGUAGUUUAACUAAAUCCCCUCGUUUACACCGAGACGCUAUCUGUUUGACCCAGAUCAUUUUGAGCCUGAAAUCUAGCCCACACAAAUCUUAUGUAUACCCAAACCCUCUGUUUAAUAAUAAAACAUUUUUAUAUUCUAGUACAGGAGAUCGAAAAAUUCCUAAGAGCUUCAGAUAAAGUACCGCAAGGGAAUGAUGAAAUAAAAAUGAAAUAAUUUUAAAGCCCCAAAUAGCAAAGAUUAAUCCUUG
rnacentral:rRNA from 1 species